AGAGUUUGAUCCUGGCUCAGGAUGAAUUUUGGCGGCGUGCUUAACACAUGCAAGUCGAACGAAGCACCUUGAUUUGAUUCUUCGGAUGAAGAUCUUGGUGACUGAGUGGCGGACGGGUGAGUAACGCGUGGGUAACCUGCCUCAUACAGGGGGAUAACAGUUAGAAAUGACUGCUAAUACCGCAUAAGACCACAGCACCGCAUGGUGCAGGGGUAAAAACUCCGGUGGUAUGAGAUGGACCCGCGUCUGAUUAGGUAGUUGGUGGGGUAACGGCCUACCAAGCCGACGAUCAGUAGCCGACCUGAGAGGGUGACCGGCCACAUUGGGACUGAGACACGGCCCAAACUCCUACGGGAGGCAGCAGUGGGGAAUAUUGCACAAUGGGGGAAACCCUGAUGCAGCGACGCCGCGUGAGUGAAGAAGUAUUUCGGUAUGUAAAGCUCUAUCAGCAGGGAAGAAAAUGACGGUACCUGACUAAGAAGCCCCGGCUAACUACGUGCCAGCAGCCGCGGUAAUACGUAGGGGGCAAGCGUUAUCCGGAUUUACUGGGUGUAAAGGGAGCGUAGACGGCUAAGCAAGUCAGAAGUGAAAGGCUGGGGCUCAACCCCGGGACUGCUUUUGAAACUGUUUGGCUAGAGUGCUGGAGAGGUAAGCGGAAUUCCUAGUGUAGCGGUGAAAUGCGUAGAUAUUAGGAGGAACACCAGUGGCGAAGGCGGCUUACUGGACAGUAACUGACGUUGAGGCUCGAAAGCGUGGGGAGCAAACAGGAUUAGAUACCCUGGUAGUCCACGCCGUAAACGA
rnacentral:rRNA from 1 species